rnacentral:rRNA from 1 species
UUGAACGCUGGCGGCAUGCCUUACACCUGCCAGUCGAACGGCAGCACGGGGGGUAACCCCUGGUGGCGAGUGGCGAACGGGUGAGUAAUAUAUCGGAACGUGUCCUGUAGCGGGGGAUAACCUAUCGAAAGAUGGACUAAUACCGCAUACGACCUACGGGUGAAAGCGGAGGACCGCAAGGCUUCGCACUAUAGGAGCGGCCGAUAUCGGAUUAGCUAGUUGGCGGGGUAACGGCCCACCAAGGCGACGAUCCGUAGCUGGUCUGAGAGGACGAUCAGCCACACUGGAACUGAGACACGGUCCAGACUCCUACGGGAGGCAGCAGUGGGGAAUUUUGGACAAUGGGCGCAAGCCUGAUCCAGCCAUGCCGCGUGAGUGAAGAAGGCCUUCGGGUUGUAAAGCUCUUUCGGCGGGGACGAAACGGUUCGUGCUAAUACCACGGACUACUGACGGUACCCGCAGAAGAAGCACCGGCUAACUACGUG